ACCGCUCUGUUUUCUCGAAGCCCUGCGCGCCGCGCGGGGUACUGACAUAGAGAAGAUGGGGCGGG
rnacentral:ncRNA from 12 species